UGAAGACAUGCCCACCAGUGAAAAACCUUAUGGAACUCUGGCCUGCACUCAAAUAGAGUCUGAGGUGUAUUUAGACUUCCAACGAAUUACAAUACAGAACCUGCCCAACAUAUUCUGCUCUGAGCUUGACCGACAUCUUCUUUCUGACAAAAGUCAUCAGUCUAGAAAGACAACCAAAAUUGGGAAGACAUCAAAUGCUUUGACUGAAAUCCUAAGAAUCUACGAUUAACAGGAGGUACGUGACAUACACACCAAGUGUAUCACUGCUCUUCAUCUCCUUCCAGUCUAUCAACAUGAGGACGUCUCAGGGUUCUUCAGGACCUGGACAGUGAGUGUUUUUUUUUUUUUUUUUGGAAAAUAUACACUACUAUUAUUAGAAGAACAUGUUUUUCAUGAUUUUACAUUUCCUUUGGUGUGUAAGUGUGUAUUAGUACAUGUUAAUGAUAUGCAAAAUGUACAAAUCCCAAUGUAAACAAUGACGUGAGUUAUUGUGUCCAACUUA